rnacentral:lncRNA from 1 species
AUGCUCGGCAUCGGCUUUCCACCAAAACCUCCAGACAAAACAUCUCAGCAGUUCUGGAACAGAGACAACACCUCGUGGAGAGGAUGUCAUCGUCAACACCUGACAAUGUCCUGGUCGCCAUCCCAGCCACGGUGUCUGGAAGGAGGGAAAAAGCAUCCCUGGAAUCCCCCGGAGCUUUUGUGUUUGGUACUUCUGGAACCUUGGUGGUGGCAUUCUCUUCUGGAAACAACUUGUCCCAAUCCACAUAUCCAAUGGUGUUUGCCUGGAUGUGGAGAAAAAGAAAUAACCUAGGAUGUCACAGCAUAGGAUUAACUCCUGUGCAGAGAGAUCCCUCCUUGGAAUGGCUUUGAUGGUAUUUAAUUGUGAAAACAAGAAAUUUCUCACUGUUUCUGUGCAAACUGGAGAAAUAAAUGCCAACUCAAACCAUUCCAUGAUUGCUGUUCAUGGACACUUGACUUGUUCUGUGGUCUUAAAAUAGGCAAGUUUAAUCCAUUUAUUUUUCCUUGUGGCAGAGAUUUGGGUGAAGAAAACCUGUUUUUUUAGGGAAAUACCAAGAGAAACCCAACUCACCUCGUAGGAAUCGAACUCAUACACGUACGUGGCAGGGGUUGCUGUGAUGUUGUCAUAGUAAUAAUCUUCUGUGGAAGAAUAGUAAUUGCCUGGAAUGGAAACAGUUCCAGGUGAGGUGGCACUGUGGGGAUUGGGUUGAGAUCACCCAGCUUUUCCCCCUGAGCAGCCAGUGUAACUCAAAUUAAUCUGGACAACAAUCCCUUCCCAGCCCUAGUUAUCCCAACUCGCUCCUGUGGCUUGUGGAAAAUGGUAAAAAUGCUUAAAAAAAAAAAAAAAAAAAGGCAUUUCUUACUUAAAUGAGCCAUGUAGUCAUAUAAAUCCUGUGCGAUCUCCUCCAUGUCAUCUUGGAGCUCUGCCUUCCCUGAAAGCAAAGGAACAACACAGGGAUCACCACGAGGAGCCUCGGGUCAAGCCGUGGGUGCUGGGUCAUGGGAAGUUUCAUUGAUUUAUUGGUGCUUUGAGCAAAACCCCUUUCCUGUGGGACUGAUGGAUUUACAACCUGAGCCAUCAUUAGAUCCCAACUAAAAGUGUGGGAGGUCGGACCAGAGCUGGGGUUUUCCUUCGUUUUUGGGUGUGGAUGUGAGAGAUGCAGUGGUGGGGAUGGAGCCUCUGGCUGUGCUCCUGCACCCCAGACCCAGAGCUGGGCUGGAUCUGCCCUGGGAUGAGCCUCUCAUCCAGGAUCCAGCUGCUCCAGUGCCUUUGGCUGCCAAGGGCUCACAAGGGACCUUCAUGUUUCCUUAGGGCUGAGCCACUAUAAAUAAAUUCCGACCCAUGUGACAUUGUCACGGCUGGAGCGAGUGGCUGAUUCCCUAUUCCAAACACAACAUUCUGUAUGUUUUCUUGGGUUUUGGGAGGAUUUUUUAAAGGAAAUUAAUUGGGAAUAUUAACGUUCUGAUAGUCACAGAUUCAUACACCAAGAUACUCAUGAGAAUGGAAGAUAUGAAACAAAAGAGAUUUUUAUAGUUUGAUACUCAUUUAUAGUCACAAAUAAGAUAAUUAUAGUACUGUCAUUAUAAGUGACACCAUGAACAGCUGGAAUGAUGCUGUCAGUCAUGCUGUAGCUCCAGGUUCCUCUCCAAACCCUCCCAUUUCUUCCUCUCAUAUCCCUGAUUUCUCAGCACUGGCAAAGCCUGGCGGGGAAGCCCAAGUUUCAAAAUUCUAGUUAGGGAAUUUUCUGAAAACAAUGACUAAGUCUGAAGACUCCAGGGUGUGACUGGGGCUCUGCCAGAGGGACACAGCGCGGCCUCACCCGUCACGGGCUCGAACACCUCGACCUGUCCCACUCCCACCCUGAGCUUUUGGGGAAAUUUGGACUGAAAUCGGGACCUGCCUCCCAUCCCUGCUCCUUCCCACGCUCAUCCUUUGGCAAUGCUCGGCAGCGUUGAGCUCUGGGGCACCUUAUCCAAGCACAGAGCUUUCCCAGAAAGUCACUCCAAGCUGGCUCUUGUCUACACUGGAGUCACACUAAUAACAGUGCAACCUUGUCCUGAAAAGAGCUUCCAGCUGGGAAUCCCCUGAUGUUUCAUGUUUGAAUUUGUUCCUUCGGUGAAGAGAAAGGGGAAGAGAGAGAGAGGCUCUCGGGCAUGACAGAGCCGCAGUUUCCAGUUCCCCUCGGCCAGUGCUGCUCUGUAUCUCCCAGAGAUGGGACAAUAUCGUGCUCAUCCUUAAGCAGCUCCAGAUUGGGGUUUUCUUCCCUCAAUACCCUGAUUCCACUCUUCCCCAUCUCAAACGGCCCACGUAACUCUCAGGAAAUCCUGUUGGGGUUUUUUCUCUGUGUCUCUUAAUAGCUCCCAGCUGGAGU